GGCUCAGAGUGAACGCUGGCGGCGUGCUUAACACAUGCAAGUCGAACGGUAACAGGAACUAGCUUGCUAGUUUGCUGACGAGUGGCGCACGGGUGAGUAAUAUAUAGUUAAUGUACCCCAAAGACUGGGAUAGCCACUGGAAACGGUGAUUAAUACUAGAUACACCUCUUUAACAUAAGUUAGAGAGGGAAAUGUCUUUUCGCUUUGGGAUCAGACUAUAUCCUAUCAGUUAGUUGGUGAGGUAAUGGCUCACCAAGGCAAUGACGGGUAGCGGGUUUGAGAGGAUGAUCCGCCACACUGGUACUGAGACACGGACCAGACUCCUACGGGAGGCAGCAGUGAGGAAUAUUGCACAAUGGAGGAAACUCUGAUGCAGCAACGCCGCGUGGAGGAUGACGCAUUUCGGUGUGUAAACUCCUUUUAUGAGUCAAGAAAAUGACGGUAGCUCAUGAAUAAGCACCGGCUAACUCCGUG
rnacentral:rRNA from 1 species